GGCAGCAGGCGCGAAAACUUCACACUGUGCGAAAGCACGAUGAGGGAAUCCCAAGUGCUUGCACGUAAGUGUAAGCUGUUUCUCUGUUUAAAACGCAGAGAGAGUAAGGGCUGGGUAAGACGGGUGCCAGCCGCCGCGGUAGUACCUGCAGCUCAAGUGGUGACCGUUAUUAUUGGGCCUAAAACGUCCGUAGCCGGUUUAAUAAAUGCCUGGGUAAAAUCGUGUAGCUUAACUAUACGAAUUCCGGGUAGACUGUUAAACUCGAGACCGGGAGAAGUUAGAGGUACUCCUGGGGUAGAGGUGAAAUUCUGUAAUCCUAGGGGGACCACCAGUGGUGAAGGCGUCUAACUAGAACGGGUCUGACGGUGAGGGACGAAGCCCUGGGCGCAAACGGGAUUAGAUACCCCCGUAGU
rnacentral:rRNA from 1 species